CCCUUAGAUGUUCUGGGCCGCACGCGCGCUACACUGAUGCAUUCAACGAGUCUAAAACCUGGUCUGAUAGGGCUGGGUAAUCUUUUGAAUGUGCAUCGUGAUUGGGAUAGAUGAUUGCAAUUCUUCAUCUUCAACGAGGAAUGCCUAGUAAACGCAAGUCAUCAGCUUGCAUUGAUUACGUCCCUGCCCUUUGUACACACCGCCCGUCGCUCCUACCGAUUGAAUGUUCCGAUGAAUACCAUGGACUGAGAGUAUGAAUGGGUUCGCCUAUUUCUGCUUCUCGGGAAGUGGAGUAAAUCUUAUCAUUGAGAGGAAGGAGAAGUCGUAACA
rnacentral:rRNA from 1 species